rnacentral:rRNA from 1 species
GAGUUUGAUCUUGGCUCAGAUUGAACGCUGGCGGCAUGCCUUACACAUGCAAGUCGAACGGCAGCACGGGAGCUUGCUCCUGGUGGCGAGUGGCGAACGGGUGAGUAAUGCAUCGGAACGUAUCCUGGAGUGGGGGAUAACGUAGCGAAAGUUACGCUAAUACCGCAUAUUCUGUGAGCAGGAAAGCGGGGGACCUUCGGGCCUCGCGCUCUUGGAGCGGCCGAUGUCGGAUUAGCUAGUUGGUGAGGUAAAGGCUCACCAAGGCGACGAUCCGUAGCAGGUCUGAGAGGAUGAUCUGCCACACUGGAACUGAGACACGGUCCAGACUCCUACGGGAGGCAGCAGUGGGAAUUUUGGACAAUGGGGACAACCCUGAUCCAGCCAUGCCGCGUGAGUGAAGAAGGCCUCGGU